rnacentral:rRNA from 1 species
UACGUAGGGAGCAAGCGUUGUCCGGAAUCAUUGGGCGUAAAGCGCGCGUAGGCGGCCCCGUAAGUCCGCUGUGAAAGUCAAAGGCUCAACCUUUGAAAGCCGGUGGAUACUGUGGGGCUGGAGUCCGGAAGAGGCGAGUGGAAUUCCUGGUGUAGCGGUGGAAUGCGCAGAUAUCAGGAAGAACACCCGUGGCGAAGGCGGCUCUCUGGGACGGUACUGACGCUGAGACGCGAAAGCGUGGGGAGCGAACAGG